GCUCACCCCUGGAACAUAGAUAAAUUUCCCUAGGCAGCCUCAGCAGGACUAGUCCUUACUAAAGACACAGCUGUGACUGCGUCUAAGAUAGGUUUCAAAUGCCUCUCAGGAUCUGAAGGGAGAAGUCAGCCUUGGAAGACGAGUCGUAAGAGGAAUUUCCUAAGAGGUCCCUUCCGAAUCAGCACAAUGAAGCUGUUUUACCUUCUCAUCAUCGCUGUCUUCUUCAUCUCUCAAGUGAUACGAGGUUAUGAACAUGGUAAAAUGGCUGGCUUAUGUGACUUAAGUACAGGUGUAUGCCUGAGGAGGAAAAAAAAUUGUAUUAUUCGCAUGCCAGGAAUAUGCCCUGGUAGGAGCUUCUGUUGUGUAAGAACAAACUGAAGAAUCCAUGUUUGGUGGCAUUGCCCUGAAUUAAGUCAACUGAAGAAUUCACUUUCCAUGGAUCAUCCCUGAAUUAAUGGAAGAAUUCAUGUUUAAUGGAACCACAUUGAAUUAAAUUGGAAAGUUGAUUUCACUA